CCACGUUCAAUGCACCGAACUAUGCAAGGCGCAAAUUUUCGGCAAUCCUGGAGUCGACGGCGUAACGUAACUUCGCCGGUCGUUGCCUGGCACGCUGGAAACGACGGCCUUAAGAAUCUGCGCCGUAUUUGAAUUGUACUUGUUUCUUAGCUAGAUUCGAAUGCUACCAGAGCAAGUGUCCAAGAUCAAGGUGGCGGUUCGUGGAACGGUACGCACACAUGGCGACCCACUUUGUCUACUAGAUUGGGCCACUAGGUAUGGGCGAACAGACGACAUGGACCACUGGGUUUGUGCCCGAAUCGACAACUUGCUGCUGUCGCUGUACAGCCCAGGGUAGCCAACCGGGCUCAGCCGGGUUAACAGCUCUCACUUCGCCUUGGAUCACUGAUCUUUAUUAUGAUUACAACGAAGGGGCCAACUAAAACAACGGACGGAGGAAGAUUUGAGCGGCGAUGCAAUCACGCCACAACAUUCAAAUGCACGUCGAAGUCCCUAUUAGCGGUACCAGCAGGAUGACCUCUCAGCGCGAUGGUUCCAAAGAACAACAUGCCUACCCUUGUCUUCGUUUGUGCGACCCCGGGAAAACACGAAAAUCACAAGGGUGAACGAGCAUAUGAUAAAGCUGGUUCCGGCAGGGUAAGGAGAUGGCCAACUACUGGCGCCUGGUCGCCUUAUUGUAAACGCGAUCUUUUUUUUUCUUUUAGUUUUUUUUUCCUUCAGAAAGCUUGCCAAAGCUUAAAUGUGAAAGGGAAUGGCGAAGUCA